AAAAAAACAUAAAAAAA
rnacentral:sRNA from 1 species